UGCGCAGGCGGUUGUGCAAGACAGAUGUGAAAUCCCCGGGCUUAACCUGGGAAUUGCAUUUGUGACUACACGGCUAGAGUGUGUCAGAGGGGGGUAGAAUUCCACGUGUAGCAGUGAAAUGCGUAGAGAUGUGGAGGAAUACCGAUGGCGAAGGCAGCCCCCUGGGAUAACACUGACGCUCAUGCACGAAAGCGUGGGGAGCAAACA
rnacentral:rRNA from 1 species